UUUAAAAGCAAAAUGUUUGAUUUGAUAGUUUUUUUCUCAGUGUAAAAUUGUUAUUUUUACAGCGCGAACACUCAGAACAAAACUUAAAAAACAGUCAAACUAAUUUGCAUAUUUCGUGUUUCUGGCAACACAGAUGGCAAAAACUAAUGUAACUGGCAGCCAGUGAUGAUCUGUCAUUGCAUGUUGAGAAUUGAAAAAUGAGACAAAAGUUCUAUGUUUACCAAGAGACGCAUUCAAGUUCUUGCUCCGAUACAACCGUUGGCACAAGAAAUGGUGGAUACUUUCGGAAAGAAUUUGUAUAAUGCGAUUCAGACACUCUUGCGAACUUUUCAUCAUUGGCUGACCACUGGUUGAGGCGGAUUUGACCGGUCGUAGGAUCAUCGUCGACACCUACUUCAGAAAAAAAAACUUCUCAAGGAUCGACCGCUAGGCUGCUCGCCAGUUCCCCCAGAAGGCUGUUAUCUACCAGUGCUGUUCAGUACAUUCUAGGUACGCCAUCGGUCUCACCGAGCCGCUUCCGGUUCUGGUACUUCCAAAAAUAGAGUUUAAAAGGACGAAACGAUAAAUAUAACGAACAUUGCUCCUGCAACGCAAGGGGAUUCACGGUGGAAUGGAGGGAAUACGUUCGAAACUAAGAAGGAAGCAGUCGUAUUCCGGCUUCACAGAUACUGACUGUCGAGGACCAUCAACCACAAACCGAAUUGUUUCUUUUUCGAAUCUGG